rnacentral:lncRNA from 1 species
AUGAUAACGGAGCUAAUGAUCAUAUUCCUCUUUCGGAAAGGACCCUGCAAGCAUUUUAACAUAGUGACGGGGGCCAUAAAGAGAAGUGAUGGGAAGGGAAACUGGACCUCUUUCAGAGCAUCCUGCGAUCCAGCCGGUCCUUCGGGGGCCAGCGCACAGCCUGGGAAGUCCGCGUCGGGACUGCGCCUGCGCCUGCGCGGAGCCUCGCCCGCGUUCCAGGUGGAAGGCUGCGCGUUUGAGCGUUCAUGGCAACGCCAGGCUUCCGCCUUCUGGAAGCCUUGGCUCCCGUUCCCGCAGUGGAACGAUGCCUCUGGAAGUGGUGGUGGAACUACAGAUCCGGGCGCAUUCUCCAGCCUAGCAACCCAUCAAGACGGAAUGACACCUGAAAUCCCAAACGAAGCCUGAAAUGUCCUGUAGCAGACAUUUUAGAAAGUAGGUACUCUCAAAACAAAACAAAACAAAACAAAGCAUCUGUUGUAUGUAUGUAACUGUGUGUACAGGUAUAAAAUUCUGUAUUCUAAGUUGUGAUAUUUCCAUGUUGGAUCCAUAUUUAUAUUCAGGAGAGUCUAUGUCAUAUUUGAAUCAUGUUUUUCAUUCUAUUACAAGCUCUAUUACAAGCUGGACAGAGAUGGGAUUUAUUGGAUGGUACACUUCUGUUUAUUAAUCUGUUACAAUUAAAUGGUUUUUAUAUCUUCACACAGUUGUGUAACCAUCACUAUAAUUAAUUUUAGAACAUUUUUAUCACCAUAGAACAAAACCCUGAACCCAUUCUUCCUUAUCAUUCCCAGCCCAGGGUAACUACUAACCAAUCUUUCUGUCUCUAUAGAUUUGUUUGUUCUGAAUAUUUCAUAUAAAUGGAAUUAUACAAUCCAUGUUCCUUUGUGCCUGGCUUUUUUCACUGAGCAUAAUGUUUUCAAGAUUCAUCUUUGCUACAGCAUGUGUUAGUACUUCACAUGUGGCCAAAUCGUGUUCCAUUGUAUGGCUAUACUACAUUUUAUUUAUUCAUUCAUUGGUUGAUGGACAGUUGGGUUGUUUUCACAUGUGGGCUAUGAUGGAAAAUGUUGCUAUGAAUAUUUGUGUACAUGUUUUUCUGUUGGCAUAUGUUUUCAUUUCUCUUGGCUAUAUACCUAGAAAUAGAAGUGUGGAGUCAUAUGGUAAUUCUUUUUAAUCUCUGGAGAAGCUUUACUAAAGUGGCUGCAUCAUUUCACGUUGUACCAGCAAUGUGUGAGGCUUCCAUUUCUCCACAUCCUGGCCAACACUUGUUAUUACCUGUCCUUUUGACUAUUAGCCAUCCUUGUGGGUACAAAGUGGAAUCUCAUUGUGGUUUGAUGAUGUUGAACAUUUUUUCAUGUGAUUAUUGACUGUGUAUCUUAUUUGGAGAAAUGUGUAUUCAGAGAUUUUGCUUAUAUUUUAAUUGGGUUAUUUGGCUUUUUAUUAUUGAGUUGUAACAUGUAAUGGACUUGUAAUGUAUUGAGUUCUUUGUACCUUGUAGAUACAAGUCCCAUAUC